rnacentral:rRNA from 1 species
AACGAACGCUGGCGGCAUGCCUAACACAUGCAAGUCGAACGAGACCUUCGGGUCUAGUGGCGCACGGGUGCGUAACACGUGGGAAUCUGCCCUUUGCUUCGGAAUAACAGUUAGAAAUGACUGCUAAUACCGGAUGAUGUCGAAAGACCAAAGAUUUAUCGGCAAAGGAUGAGCCCGCGUAGGAUUAGGUAGUUGGUGGGGUAAAGGCCUACCAAGCCGACGAUCCUUAGCUGGUCUGAGAGGAUGAUCAGCCACACUGGGACUGAGACACGGCCCAGACUCCUACGGGAGGCAGCAGUGGGGAAUAUUGGACAAUGGGCGAAAGCCUGAUCCAGCAAUGCCGCGUGAGUGAUGAAGGCUUUAGGGUUGUAAAGCUCUUUUACCAGGGAUGAUAAUGACAGUACCUGGAGAAUAAGCUCCGGCUAACCCCGUG